CCUUCCCCCUUCCUUUCCAUUUUCUCUCCCUCUUUUCUUAUAUUUUUUCCAAAAUUUUUCUUGUCUUUAUCCUCUCAUUCUCACACCUAAAACCCAGCCAAAUGGAACAUUGAACCAUGGACUAACACUCCCUUUUUAUAGGGAACAAGAGGGCAUACCAUGGGAUGCCAACUCUUGGCAUCCCAAAUCCAUUACAUGCCAUAAAUUAAUUAUUUGCAUGGAAUCCCAUGGGU
rnacentral:lncRNA from 1 species